CCUACGGGCGGCUGCAGUGGGGAAUAUUGGACAAUGGGCGAAAGCCUGAUCCAGCCAUGCCGCGUGUGUGAAGAAGGCCUUCGGGUUGUAAAGCACUUUCAGUGGGGAAGAAAGCCUUGGGGCUAAUACCCUCGAGGAAGGACAUCACCCACAGAAGAAGCACCGGCUAACUCCGUGCCAGCAGCCGCGGUAAUACGGAGGGUGCGAGUGUUAAUCGGAAUUACUGGGCGUAAAGCGCGCGUAGGCGGUCUGAUAAGCCGGUUGUGAAAGCCCCGGGCUCAACCUGGGAACGGCAUCCGGAACUGUCAGGCUAGAGUGCAGGAGAGGAAGGUAGAAUUCCCGGUGUAGCGGUGAAAUGCGUAGAGAUCGGGAGGAAUACCAGUGGCGAAGGCGGCCUUCUGGACUGACACUGACGCUGAGGUGCGAAAGCGUGGGUAGCAAACAGGAUUAGAUACCCCUGUAGUC
rnacentral:rRNA from 1 species